AGUCGAGGGGCAUCAGUUUGGUUUGCUUGCAAACCAAAGCUGGCGACCGGCGCACGGGUGAGUAACACGUAUCCAACCUGCCUCAUACUCGGGGAUAGCCUUUCGAAAGAAAGAUUAAUAUCCGAUAGCAUAUAUUUCCCGCAUGGGUUUUAUAUUAAAGAAAUUCGGUAUGAGAUGGGGAUGCGUUCCAUUAGUUUGUUGGCGGGGUAACGGCCCACCAAGACUACGAUGGAUAGGGGUUCUGAGAGGAAGGUCCCCCACAUUGGAACUGAGACACGGUCCAAACUCCUACGGGAGGCAGCAGUGAGGAAUAUUGGUCAAUGGACGCGAGUCUGAACCAGCCAAGUAGCGUGAAGGAUGACUGCCCUAUGGGUUGUAAACUUCUUUUAUAUGGGAAUAAAGUGGUCCACGUGUGGAUUUUUGUAUGUACCAUAUGAAUAAGGAUCGGCUAACUCCGUGCCAGCAGCCGCGGUAAUACGGAGGAUCCGAGCGUUAUCCGGAUUUAUUGGGUUUAAAGGGAGCGUAGGCGGAUUGUUAAGUCAGUUGUGAAAGUUUGCGGCUCAACCGUAAAAUUGCAGUUGAUACUGGCAGUCUUGAGUGCAGUAGAGGUGGGCGGAAUUCGUGGUGUAGCGGUGAAAUGCUUAGAUAUCACGAAGAACUCCGAUUGCGAAGGCAGCUCACUGGAGUGUAACUGACGCUGAUGCUCGAAAGUGUGGGUAUCAAACAGGAUUAGAUACCCUGGUAGUCCACACAGUAAACGAUGAAUACUCGCUGUUUGCGAUAUACAG
rnacentral:rRNA from 1 species